ensembl:piRNA 21ur-15684 ncRNA
AAUUACAAUGUAAUUGCUUGA